AUGGGAAAGUCCACCUUGGCACAACUUGUUUACAAUGACAAGAGCAUAAAAGAGUAUUUUGAUGUGACGAUGUGGGUAAGCAUCUCACGCAAACUUAAUGUCCGACGUCAUACACGGGAUAUCAUAGAGUCGGCCUCUCAGGGGGAAUGCCCACAGAUUGAUAACCUUGAUACUCUACAGCGCAAGUUGAUUGACAUACUACAAGAAUCAAAAAAAUUCUUGCUGGUGUUGGAUGAUGUUUGGUUCGAACCAGGCAGUGAGAUGGAAUGGGAGCAACUAUUAGCCCCUCUAGUUUCAAAAGACGCCAGAAGCAAAGUUUUGAUAACUUCUCGGCGGGAUACAUUUCCAGCUGCUCUUUGUUGUGAAGAAGUGUGUCCUCCGGAAAACAUGGAAUAUGCUCAGUUCUUGACACUUUUUAAGCACCAUGCAUUCUCUGGACCAGAAAUCGGAAAUCCACAGUUGCAUGAAAAGUUGGAAGGUUUUGCACAAAAGAUAGCUAAAAGACUUGGACGAUCUCCUUUGGCAGCGAAAGUUGUGGGUUCCCAGUUGAAAGGGAAAACAAGUAUCAGUGCAUGGAAAGGUGCUCUAACUAUAAAGAUUGACGAAUUAACUGACCCCAUGAGAGCUCUGUUGUGGAGUCAUGAGAAGUUAGAUCCUUGUCUGCAGAGGUGCUUCCUAUAUUGCAGCUUGUUUCCAAAAGGCCACAAGUAUGACACUGAUGAGUUGGUUUAUCUUUGGAUGGCAGAGGGCCUUGUUGACUCAUGCGACCAAAACAAGAGAGUGGAAGAUAUUGGGAUGGAUUGCUUCCGUGAGAUGAUCUCCGCUUCAUUCUUUCAACCUGUUUAUGAGGAAGACACUUACUAUCUUAUGCAUGAUCUCCUUCAUGAUCUUGCAGAAUCACUCUCCAAAGGGAACUACUUCAGAUUGGAAGAUUGUAAGAUGACAGAAAUACCAUCCACUGUUCGAUACCUUUCUGUUCGUGUUGAUAGUAUGACGCAACACAAGAAAAGUAUCUGCAAGCUACAUCAUUUACGCACUAUUAUCUGCAUAGAUCCUCUAAUUGAUGAUGUAAGUCACCUUUUUAAUGAGAUACUACAGAAUUUGAAGAAGUUGCGUGUACUAUGUUUGUCAUCUUACAGCAGUAGUAAGUUGCCAGAAUCUGUUGGUCAGUUGAAGCACCUUCGGUAUUUGAACAUCAUCAGAACACUAAUUUCUGAUUUGCCAAGAUCACUGUGUACUCUUUACCACUUGCAGUUACUUCUGUUAAAUGACAAAGUUGAGUGUUUCCCUGAGAAUCUCUGCAAUUUAAGGAAGUUGCGGCAUCUUGAAAGGCAUUUUAAUAGAUUAGACACGUCAUACAAAAUAACACUGCCUCAAAUUCCUUACAUUGGUAAUCUGAGUCUGCUUCAAGAAUUGAAGGCAUUUUCUUUGCAAAAGAAAAAUGGAUAUGAGUUGCAACAGCUGAGGGACAUGAAUGGGAUUCGUGGCAGUUUAAGUGUCACAAAUCUUGAGAAUGUCAGUGGGAAAGAUCAAGCCUUAGAAUCGAAGCUGUGUCAGAAAAGUCAUCUUCACAGCUUGCAACUUGUUUGGAGUUGCAAGAAUAACACGAAUGCAGAGGAUAGUUUACAUUUGGAGAUUCUAGAAGGCCUGAUGCCACCGCCUCAACUUGGGGGACUUACAGUUGACGGUUAUAAAUCUUCAAAAUAUCCUAGCUGGUUACUUGAUGGUUCGUAUUUUGAGAAUUUGGAACAUUUAAGCUUUGUUAAUUGCAGCGUGUUACAAAGCUUACCAUCCAAUAGUGAACUAUUUGGGAAUUGCUCUUCACUUGUCCUCACCAAUAUGCCAAACCUGAAGACAUUACCUUGUCUUCCACUAGGCCUUCAAAAAUUAAUGAUAUCCAAUUGUCCACUGCUUAUAUUUAUUUCGAGCAAUGAUCUAGAACAUCAAGAGCAGAGAGAGGAUAUCUCAAGGACAGACCACUUGGCAUCACAGCUUGGUUUAAUCUGGGACUUGGAUUCAGGAUCACAUAUUAGGAGUGUACUCUCAUCGGAAUAUUCAUUACUCAAGCAGCUGGUCACAUUGAUGCAUGCUGAUGUGUCAAAUGUUCAAAACCUUGAAAGUGCUCUUGAAGGAAAGAAAGAUGAAGCAUUGGUAAAAGAGGAUAUCAUCAAGGCGUGGAUAUACUGUCACGAGCAAAGGAUAGGACUCACAUAUGGAAGGAGCAUUGGACUGCCGCUGAUUACGCCAUCAAGACUUUGUACUCUGUCUCUUUCGAGAUGCAGUAUUACAGAUGGAGCUUUAGCUAUUUGCCUUAAUGGCCUGGCUUCACUGGGAAGUUUGUCCUUGGAAGAGAUUGUGACAUUAACUACUCUUCCUUCUGAAGAAGUGAUCCAACAUUUGACAAAACUUGACUAUUUGUUCAUCAAAGAUUGCUGGUGUCUCAGGUCAUUAGGGGGUUUACGAGCUGCUACCUCUCUUUCAGAAGUUAAAUUGAUUUCCUGCCCUUCUUUAGUGUUGGAAUGUGGAGCAGAAUGUUUGCCAUUAUCCAUUGAGAAGCUCCAUAUAUUAGGUUGUGUACUUGGAGCUGAAUUCCUCUGUACCGGCUGGCAACAGAUGAAUGCUAUUCUCAUAGGCUGUUGCAGAAGCACCGCAUGCUUUUCUGUUGGUACUCUUACCUCUGUUAAAUCACUCUCACUGUAUUGCUUGCCAGAUUUAUGUAUGCUCGAAGGAUUUUCCUCCCUGCAACUUGACCGUGUAGAACUGAUUGAUGUUCCAAAACUCACUCCCGAGUGUAUCUCACAGUUUCGACUCCAGUACUCACUCACUGUUAGCAGUCCUAUAAUACUCAACAACAUGCUGUCGGCUGAAGGUGUCACAGUUCCACCAUUUCUUUCACUUCGAAGUUGCAAGGAACCAUUCGUUUCAUUCAAAGAAUCGGCAAAUUUCACAUUAGUGAGGGCUCUGUCAUUCUCUAAUUGUCAAAUGACUUCCCUGCCAACAAAUCUGAAGUGCUUCUCCAGUCUGAGGAAUCUCAACAUCUCCAAGUGCCCCAACAUAUCAUCCUUACCAGAUCUGCCAUCCUCCCUUCAGUUCAUAUUUGUUUGGGAUUGUUCUGAGCUGUUGAAGGAGAACUGCCGAGCACCUGAUGGAGAAAGUUGGCCAAAGAUUGAGCAUAUCCGCUGGAAGCAAUUUCAGUAG
rnacentral:rRNA from 1 species